CAAAGUGUAGCUUAAUCAAAGCAUCCCGCUUACACCGAGAAAAUACCCGUUAAACCCGGGUCACUCUGA
rnacentral:tRNA from 1 species